AUCUUCUCUGUGAAGAUGCAGGUGAAGGUCAGAACCAAUGGAUUUGGUCGUAUUGGGCGCCUGGUCUCCAGGGCUGCUUUUAACUCUGGUAAAGUGGAUAUUGUCGCCAUCAAUGACCCUUCAUUGACCUCAACUACAUGGUCUACAUGUUCCAGUAUGAUUCCAUCCAUAGCAAAUUCCACGGCACUGUCAAGGCUGAGAACGGGGAAAUCCCAUCAUCAUCUUCCAGGAGCGAGAUCCCUCCAAAAUCAAAUGUGGCAAUGCUGGUGCUGAGUUCGUCGUGGAGUCCACCAGCAUCUUCACCACCAUGGAGAAGGCUGGGGCUCACUUGCAGGGGAGAGCCAAAAGGGUCAUCAUCUCUACCCCCUCUGCUGACGCCCCCAUGUUCGUGAUGGGCGUAAACCAUGAGAAGUAUGACAACGGCCUCAAGAUCGUCAGCAAUGCCUCCUGCACCACCAACUGCUUAGCGCCCCUGGCCAAGGUCAUCCAUCACAACUUUGGUAUUGCCGAAGGACUCAUGACUACAGUCCACACCAUCACUGCCACCCAGAAGACUAUGGAUGGCCCCUCCAGGAAACUGUGAUGUGACAGCCAUGGGGCUCUCCAGAACAUCAUCCCUGCCUCUACUGGCGCUGCCCAGGCUGUGGGCAAGGUCAUCUCUGAGCUGAAUGGGAAGCUCACUUGCAUGGACUUGCAUGGCCCCGCUGCCAACGUGUUGGUCGUGGACCUGACCUGCCGCCUGGAAACACCUGCCAAAUUGUCAAAUACGACGACAUCUAGAAGGUGAUGAAGUGGGAGUCCGACGCCCCCUCAAGGGCAUCUGGGGCUACACUGAACACCAGCUUGUCUCCUCUGACUUCAACCUCAACACCCACUCUUCCACCUUUGAUGCUGGGGCUGGCAUUGCCCUCAAUGACCACUUUGUCAAGCUUGUUUCCUGGUAUGACAAUGAAUUUGGCUACAGCAACAGGGUGGUGGACCUCAUGGCCCACAUGGCCUCCAAGGAGUAAGACCCCUGGACCAUCAGCCCUAGCAAGAGUACGAGAGGAAGAGAGAGGCCCUCACUGCUGGGGAAUCCCUGCCACACUCAGUCCCCCAUCACAAUGAGAAUCUCCCUUCCUCACAGUUUCCAUGCAGACUCCCUGAAGAGGGAGGAGCCUAGGGAGCCCUGCUUUGUGUACCAUCAAUAAAGUCCCCUGCACUCAGCCAAUAAAUAAAUAAACACAAUUUUAAAAGAUGAUCAUCUACAAGCCAAGAAGAGAGGCCUCAGGAGAAACCAACCCGGCCAACACCUUAUUCUUGGAUGUCUAGUCUCCACAAUUAUGAGAAAAU